rnacentral:lncRNA from 1 species
AUGCUCCCGCCCGCCGGGGCUCGCCUUAGCCGGGCGGGCGGGCGGUCGGGCGUGCGCGUGCGCGUGCGCGUGCGGCGCUCGGAGAACCAGCCGUGGGAACCGGGGAGCGGAGCCGGUGCCAAGCCGGCCGCCCAGGCCUCACGUCUGACACGAACGGCGUGCGACCAGGCGGCCCGACGAGCCCCAGCCAAUCGGCGCCUCGCUGCGGGAGGCCCCACCCACCGCGCCCUCGCGCGUCCAAUCGGCGGGACCCGGCGCGCCGGCCGUUGGCUUCUGAUUGGCUGGGGCGAGCCGCGUCCGGAGCCGGGCGAAGCUGUGGGCUCGCUGGCACUCGGGGUGGCGGCCAGGAGCCGGUGGGACUGCUGGGGCGCCGAGCGUUGUGACCCCGUGUGGCCAGGCGCAGGAGGAAGGCCGUGGCGGAGUGCGAACGCCCCCGACGAGGGACGGAGGCUCGGAGAUGGCGAAGCUCGGCUGGAGUCAGGUGUGCCGGCAGCGCGGGAGGCUCGCUGCUGCUCUCGGGGUGGGGAGAAGCCCUCUCUCCCUCCGGGCUGUGACCCCCGCCCACGGGAUCCGCUCCCGGAAGUACCGCGGCUCUGUGCUGCUCCUCGGUUUGGAUGCAGAUUCUGACAGGUUCCGGUGGUUGUGGGAGCUCAUGGCGUGUGUGCGAGGGGUCGUCUCUUCCUCUCUACACCGGCGUCGCUGGAAAGGGCUCCUGGAAACUUAAUUCCAUGUGUCCUGCCCCUGGUCAUUUGAACCAGGAUCUCCAGGCUGCCGCCUUAGCAGCCGUUUGCGUAAGCUGACAGGUGACUGAUGCAAAAUCAGUUUGAAACCGUUGUUUUGGAUGGUAGUUCUCGGGAUCAAAGAGACAGGCGGGGAAGGGUCUUCGGCUGUUGCCCCAACCGAUGCUCAUCCAUUUUCUCAUCUUACCUCUUCUAGGUUGCCAUGCUUUCGGAAAGGGCUGUCCGUAGUGAUUACCCGACCUUACAGAAUGAUAAAUAGGUGUUCAGCAACUAAGUUUGAGUACUUGCUUAUUGGUGACUUAGAAAUAUGUUCUACUCCCUGACAGAUAUAGGGCAGUCCCUGGGUGACUGGAUGAUAAAAGAAAAUGCAGCGGAGGAGGAAUAUUUUCAAAUUGAAACUGGGAUUGUUAGCUAAUUUAUGUCUUCACUGGAGAAAGCCCAUUUAACUUGGCAUGACUUUCACAGCUUUUACAGUUCAGAGACAGUAUUGGGGGCUUCUGUUGGGAAUGUAUUUUUAUAUUUUCAGUUCAAAUUUCCACCUGUAACAUAAAAGUGUUGGCUUAAUAAUAAGUAUAUUGUCAAUCUAAAAGAACCGUGGACUGUGUGGGGAAAGCCGUAUUUUCUUCCAGAGAUGUACUCCUGGCGUAGAACAAUUCACACAAUCCUUCGAACCCUUCUUUUCUAUCUGUAAAAUAAACGUACUUCUCACCGUCUGAUUCA